UUAGUGAAGUGCUUCGCCUGCUCUAUCGACAAGGCUUUGGGUUUGUACUGCCAAGCAGGCACGAAGUACCUGGGACACACUACAAAACCCUUUCAAAAAGCAGGUAAAUCACAGCAACCAGAAUGCAGCUGCGACAAUUGAAAGUGCUUUUCGUUAUGAUAGCAUACAGUUGGUCUGCAGUUUACGGACAAAUUGUGGCCC